AUUGAACGCUGGCGGCAUGCCUUACACAUGCAAGUCGAACGGCAGCACGGACUUCGGUCUGGUGGCGAGUGGCGAACGGGUGAGUAAUGUAUCGGAACGUACCUUUCAGUGGGGGAUAACGUAGCGAAAGUUACGCUAAUACCGCAUAUUCUGUGAGCAGGAAAGCAGGGGAUCGCAAGACCUUGCGCUGAUUGAGCGGCCGAUAUCAGAUUAGCUAGUUGGUGGGGUAAAGGCCUACCAAGGCGACGAUCUGUAGCGGGUCUGAGAGGAUGAUCCGCCACACUGGAACUGAGACACGGUCCAGACUCCUACGGGAGGCAGCAGUGGGGAAUUUUGGACAAUGGGGGCAACCCUGAUCCAGCCAUGCCGCGUGAGUGAAGAAGGCCUUCGGGUUGUAAAGCUCUUUCGGCCGGGAAGAAAUCGCAUAGGCUAAUACCCUGUGUGGAUGACGGUACCGGAAUAAGAAGCACCGGCUAACUACGUG
rnacentral:rRNA from 1 species